rnacentral:rRNA from 1 species
CCUACGGGAGGCUGCAGUGAGGAAUAUUGGUCAAUGGGCGCGAGUCUGAACCAGCCAAGUCGCGUGAAGGAAGAAGGUACUUAGUAUUGUAAACUUCUUUUGUCCGGGAACAAAGGCGGAGACGCGUCUCCGGAUGAGUGUACCCGACGAAAAAGCAUCGGCUAACUCCGUGCCAGCAGCCGCGGUAAUACGGAGGAUGCGAGCGUUAUCCGGAUUUAUUGGGUUUAAAGGGUGCGCAGGCGGAGGUGCAAGUCAGCGGUCAAAUCGCGGGGCUCAACCCCGUACUGCCGUUGAAACUGCAUCCCUUGAGUGCGCGAGAAGUAGGCGGAAUGCGUGGUGUAGCGGUGAAAUGCAUAGAUAUCACGCAGAACUCCGAUUGCGAAGGCAGCAUACCGGCGCGCAACUGACGUUCAUGCACGAAAGCGUGGGUAGCGAACAGGAUUAGAUACCCUUGUAGUC